rnacentral:rRNA from 1 species
UGGGGAAUUUUGGACAAUGGGCGAAAGCCUGAUCCAGCAAUGCCGCGUGUGUGAAGAGGGCCUUCGGGUUGUAAAGCACUUUUGUCCGGAAAGAAAUCCUUGGCUCUAAUACAGUCGGGGGAUGACGGUACCGGAAGAAUAAGCACCGGCUAACUACGUGCCAGCAGCCGCGGUAAUACGUAGGGUGCAAGCGUUAAUCGGAAUUACUGGGCGUAAAGCGUGCGCAGGCGGUUUGCUAAGACCGAUGUGAAAUCCCCGGGCUCAACCUGGGAACUGCAUUGGCUGACUGGCAGGCUAGAGUAUGGCAGAGGGGGGUAGAAUUCCACGUGUAGCAGUGAAAUGCGUAGAGAUGUGGAGGAAUACCGAUGGCGAAGGCAGCCCCCUGGGCCAAUACUGACGCUCAUGCACGAAAGCGUGGGGAGCAAACAGGAUUAGAUACCCUGGUAGUCCACGCCCUAAAACGAUGUCAACUAGUUGUUGGGGAUUCAUUUCCUUAGUAACGUAGCUAACGCGUGAAGUUGACCGCCUGGGGAGUACGGUCGCAAGAUUAAAACUUAAAGGAAUUGACGGGGUCAUAGCUGUUUCCU